UCUUUAUAUUAAUUUAAAUUAAAUUAUUUAAGAUUUUUUUAUAUUUAUUUUGUAUUAAUAUUUUAUUGGGGUAAUAAGAAGAUUAAAUUAAUUCUUUUUUUUAUUUUAUAUUAAUUUAUAAAUUUUUGAUCCUUUAAUAAAGAUUAAAAGAUUAAGU
rnacentral:rRNA from 1 species